rnacentral:rRNA from 1 species
CCCGGGCCUUGUACACACCGCCCGUCACACCACGAAAGUUGGCAAUACCCGAAGCCGGUGGCCUAACCCGCAAGGGAGGGAGCCGUCGAAGGUAGGGUCGAUGAUUGAGGUG